CCUACAGGUGGCUGCAGUGGGGAAUAUUGGACAAUGGGGGGAACCCUGAUCCAGCCAUGCCGCGUGUGUGAAGAAGGCCCUCGGGUUGUAAAGCACUUUCAGUGAGGAAGAACGCCUGGUGGUUAAUACCCAUCAGGAAAGACAUCACUCACAGAAGAAGCACCGGCUAACUCCGUGCCAGCAGCCGCGGUAAUACGGAGGGUGCGAGCGUUAAUCGGAAUUACUGGGCGUAAAGCGCGCGUAGGUGGCUUGAUAAGCCGGUUGUGAAAGCCCCGGGCUCAACCUGGGAACGGCAUCCGGAACUGGCAAGCUAGAGUGCAGGAGAGGAAGGUAGAAUUCCCGGUGUAGCGGUGAAAUGCGUAGAGAUCGGGAGGAAUACCAGUGGCGAAGGCGGCCUUCUGGACUGACACUGACACUGAGGUGCGAAAGCGUGGGUAGCAAACAGGAUUAGAUACCCUGGUAGUC
rnacentral:rRNA from 1 species